rnacentral:rRNA from 1 species
CCUACGGGGCGCAGCAGUGGGGAAUAUUGGACAAUGGGCGAAAGCCUGAUCCAGCCAUGCCGCGUGUGUGAAGAAGGCCUUCGGGUUGUAAAGCACUUUCAGUGGGGAAGAAAGCCUUGGGGCUAAUACCCUCGAGGAAGGACAUCACCCACAGAAGAAGCACCGGCUAACUCCGUGCCAGCAGCCGCGGUAAUACGGAGGGUGCGAGUGUUAAUCGGAAUUACUGGGCGUAAAGCGCGCGUAGGCGGUCUGAUAAGCCGGUUGUGAAAGCCCCGGGCUCAACCUGGGAACGGCAUCCGGAACUGUCAGGCUAGAGUGCAGGAGAGGAAGGUAGAAUUCCCGGUGUAGCGGUGAAAUGCGUAGAGAUCGGGAGGAAUACCAGUGGCGAAGGCGGCCUUCUGGACUGACACUGACGCUGAGGUGCGAAAGCGUGGGUAGCAAACAGGAUUAGAUACCCUUGUAGUC